AUGCUUUACGGCUUAGAACCGGGUCUUCAACGACGUUUUGAACGUAAUGGAGCAUAUGAGAUGUUCCAGGAGUUGAAGUUAAUAUUUCAAGCAAAUGCCCGGAUUGAGAGAUAUGAAGUCUCCAAUAAGUUCUACAGCUGCAAGAUGGAGGAGAAUAGUUCUGUUAGUGAGCAUAUACUCAAAAUGUCUAGGUAUAAUAAUCACUUGAUUCAACUGGGAGUUAAUCUUCCGGAUGAUAGCGUCAUUGACAGAACUCUCCAAUCACUGCCACCAAGCUACAAGAGCUUUGUGAUGAACUAUAAUAUGCAAGGGAUGAACAAGACUAUUCCCGAGCUCUUCGCAAUGCUAAAAGCUGCGGAGGUAGAAAUCAAGAAGGAGCAUCAAGUGUUGAUGGUCAACAAUACCACUAGUUUCAAGAAAAAGGGCAAAGGGAAGAAGAAGGGGAACUUCAAGAAAAACAGCAAGCAAGUUGCUGCUCAAGAGAAGAAACCCAAGUCUGGACCUAAGCCUGAAACGGAGUACUUCUACUGCAAGCAGACUGGUCACUGGAAGCGGAACUGCCCCAAGUAUUUGGCGGAUAAGAAGGAUGGCAAAGUGAACAAAUGGACUACAGAAUAA
rnacentral:rRNA from 1 species